rnacentral:rRNA from 1 species
UACGAAGGGGGCUAGCGUUGCUCGGAAUCACUGGGCGUAAAGGGUGCGUAGGUGGAUUUUUAAGUCAGGGGUGAAAUCCUGGAGCUCAACUCCAGAACCGCCUUUGAUACUGGGAAUCUUGAGUUCGGGAGAGGUGAGUGGAACUGCGAGUGUAGAGGUGAAAUUCGUAGAUAUUCGCAAGAACACCAGUGGCGAAGGCGGCUCACUGGCCCGGUACUGACGCUGAGGUGCGAAAGCGUGGGGAGCAAACAGG